GACGAACGCUGGCGGCGUGCUUAACACAUGCCAGUCGAACGGAAAGGCCCCUUUGGGGGUACUCGAGUGGCGAACGGGUGAGUAACACGUGAGUAACCUGCCCUUGACUUCGGGAUAACUUCAGGAAACUGGGGCUAAUACCGGAUAGGAAUCCUUGCUGCAUGGUGGGGGUUGGAAAGCUUCGGCGGUUUUGGAUGGACUCGCGGCUUAUCAGCUUGUUGGUGGGGUAGUGGCUUACCAAGGCUUUGACGGGUAGCCGGCCUGAGAGGGCGACCGGCCACAUUGGGACUGAGAUACGGCCCAGACUCCUACGGGAGGCAGCAGUGGGGAAUAUUGCACAAUGGGCGGAGGCCUGAUGCAGCAACGCCGCGUGCGGGAUGACGGCCUUCGGGUUGUAAACCGCUUUCAGCAGGGGCGAAGCUUGUGGUGACGGUACCUGCAGAAGAAGCACCGGCUAACUACGUG
rnacentral:rRNA from 1 species